CCUACGGGAGGCAGCAGUGGGGAAUCUUGGACAAAUGGGGGAAACCCUGAUCCAGCCAUGCCGCGUGGAGGAUUAAGGCCCUCUGGGUUGUAAACUCCUUUUAUCUGGGAAGAAAUGUACUUUUUCUUGAGUACUUGACGGUACCAGAGGAAUAAGCACCGGCUAACUCCGUGCCAGCAGCCGCGGUAAU
rnacentral:rRNA from 1 species